CAGAAUGAACGCUGGCGGCGUGCUUAACACAUGCAAGUCGAACGAGAAAUCUUUAGCUCGCCAGAGAAAGUAAAGUGGCGCACGGGUGAGUAACGCGUGGGUAAUCUGCCUCCGAAUCGGGGAUAACAUUGCGAAAGCGAUGCUAAUACCGGAUAAAAUCUGGUUGGCUUCGGUGAACCGGAUCAAAGGUGGUCUCUUCAUAAAAGCUACCGUUUGGAGAUGAGCUCGCGUACCAUUAGCUAGUUGGUGAGGUAAAGGCUCACCAAGGCGACGAUGGUUAGCUGGUCUGAGAGGAUGAUCAGCCACACCGGAACUGGAACACGGUCCGGACUCCUACGGGAGGCAGCAGUGAGGAAUUUUGCGCAAUGGGGGAAACCCUGACGCAGCAACGCCGCGUGAGUGAUGAAGGCUUUCGGGUCGUAAAACUCUGUCAGUGGGGACGAAAAAUGACGGUACCCACAAAGGAAGCACCGGCUAACUCCGUGCCAGCAGCCGCGGUAAGACGGAGGGUGCAAGCGUUGUCCGGAAUUAUUGGGCGUAAAGCGUUCGUAGGCGGCAUGUCAAGUCUGAUGUUAAAGCCCGGAGCUCAACUCCGGUUAGGCAUUGGAUACUGGCAAGCUAGAGUACAGAAGAGGCAAGGGGAAUUCCUAGUGUAGCGGUGAAAUGCGUAGAUAUUAGGAGGAACACCGGUGGCGUAAGCGCCUUGCUGGUCUGUAACUGACGCUGAGGAACGAAAGCCAGGGUAGCAAAUGGGAUUAGAUACCCCAGUAGUCCUGGCCGUAAACGAUGGAUACUAGGUGUUGCAGGUAUCGACCCCUGCAGUGCUGCAGCUAACGCAAUAAGUAUCCCGCCUGGGGAGUACGCACGCAAGUGUGAAACUCAAAGGAAUUGACGGGGACCCGCACAAGCGGUGGAACAUGUGGUUUAAUUCGAAGCAACGCGAAGAACCUUACCAGGGCUUGACAUCCUGAGAACUUUCCAGAGAUGGAUUGGUGCCCUUCGGGGAACUCAGUGACAGGUGGUGCACGGUUGUCGUCAGCUCGUGUCGUGAGAUGUUGGGUUAAGUCCCGCAACGAGCGCAACCCACGUUGUUAGUUGCCUGUAAGAACCUGUUCUUGCAGUGCUCUCUAGCGAGACUGCCGGUGAUAAACCGGAGGAAGGUGUGGACGACGUCAAAUCAUCAUGCCCCUUAUGUCCUGGGCUACACACGUGUUACAAUGGGUGGGACAACGAGCAGCCAAUCAGCGAUGAUGAGCAAAUCUCUUAAACCUACUCUCAGUUCGGAUCGUAGUCUGCAACUCGACUACGUGAAGUCGGAAUCGCUAGUAACCGUAGAUCAGCACGCUGCGGUGAAUACGUUCCCGGGUCUUGUACACACUGCCCGUCACACCAUGGAAGCUGAUCACGCCCGAAGUCGGUGUGCUAAC
rnacentral:rRNA from 1 species